UGGAAGAAUUUCUCAAGUUGGGUGUGCGCUCUAUCAUAUUAACCUCAGGCACCUUGUUUCCAUUGGAUUCACUAGCCAUGGAACUAAACCUUGAAUUCCCAGUUAGACUAGAAAAUCCGCAUGUCAUUUCUUCAGACCAAGUCUGGGUUGGAGUCGUGCCUGUCGGCCCUUCGGGACAUGCUCUUAAUUCUUCUUAUCGUACGCGUAAUACUAUACAAUAUAAACAAGAGUUGGGCACUGCAAUAGUAAAUUUCGCACACAUUGUGCCAGACGGACUCCUUGUUUUCUUCCCUUCAUAUUCUAUGAUGGACAUGUGUGUUGACUUCUAGAAAAAUAGGGUAUUCAUUGGUUCUGGAAAAGUAGUUCUUAUCAUUUGAGGUGUUUACAAAAUUAGAAAUUUUAUAACUUAAAUCUCUUACAGAACCAUUCAAAUUCAACUUCUGAGAACACAAUUUGGCAGCGGAUCUGUAAGCACAAGCAGCCAGUUAUAGAGAGCCUAGGCAGUCAUCAAACUUUCAGAGUGCAAUUGAGGAUUAUAGAACCAAAUUACACGAUUCUUCUUCUGGGGCAAUAUUUUUUGCAGUUUGUCGUGGCAAAGUUUGUUCCUAUUCUUUGUAACCUUUGCUAUCUAUUAUCACCACUUUUUUAUAACCAGUCUCAAUGAUCUUGAGCUAAAUGCUUCUUUUGCUAGGUCUGUAACAUGCUAAUCAAUUUAUUAACCAUUAUGUGUACCCUUUUUUGCGCUGAAAGAUAAAACAUGCUUAGUGACAUAUGGGUCCUGUCUGGCAUGGCUUUUCUCCCAGAUUCCCAUCAGAAAAAGCGAUGCAGCUGCCAAAUGCUCGUCUUGCUUCUUUCCUAAUUGCUUCUAUGAACGAGCUGAAAAGCGAUAAGCCAUAGUUGAGGUGCCUUUCCCAACUUCUUUGCU